GACGAACGCUGGCGGCGUGCUUAACACAUGCAAGUCGAACGAUGAUGCCAGCUUGCUGGUGGAUUAGUGGCGAACGGGUGAGUAACACGUGAGCAACCUGCCCCUGACUUCGGGAUAACCGCGGGAAACCGUGGCUAAUACCGGAUAUGACGCGCUAUCGCAUGGUGGUGUGUGGAAAGAUUUAUCGGUUGGGGAUGGGCUCGCGGCCUAUCAGCUUGUUGGUGGGGUGAUGGCCUACCAAGGCGACGACGGGUAGCCGGCCUGAGAGGGUGACCGGCCACACUGGGACUGAGACACGGCCCAGACUCCUACGGGAGGCAGCAGUGGGGAAUAUUGCACAAUGGGCGCAAGCCUGAUGCAGCGACGCCGCGUGAGGGGUGACGGCCUUCGGGUUGUAAACCUCUUUCAGUAGGGAAGAAGGCCUUCGGGUUGACGGUACCUGCAGAAGAAGCGCCGGCUAACUACGUG
rnacentral:rRNA from 1 species